UGCUUCUUGAACUUAAAUAAAAAGUAAUUCCUGCCCAGUGAAGUUUUAACGGCCGCGGUAUCCUAACCGUGCAAAGGUAGCAUAAUAAUUUGCCCAUUAAUUGUGGGCUAGCAUGAAUGGAGUAAUGAAAUAAGGACUGUCUCAACAUAUAACAUUUAAACUAUUAUUAAAGUGAAGAAACUUUAAUUAAAUUAAAGGACAAGAAGACCCUAUAGAGCUUUAUCUAACUAAAUAUUUCAUAUUUAUAGGAUUCGGUUGGGGCGACCAGGGAAAAAUCAUCCCGUAGAAUUAAGAUUAAUAUAUCACUAUUAUGAUCCUAUAUUAGAUCAAAAGAACAAGCUACCUUAGGGAUAACAGGCUAAUCCUAUUUAUGAGUUCAUAUCGACAAUAGGGAUUGGCACCUCGAUGUUGGCUUAGAAUAUCUAUGUGGCGCAGAUGUCACAGAAAGAAGGUUUGUUCAACCUAUAAUUUUCU
rnacentral:rRNA from 2 species